rnacentral:lncRNA from 1 species
CACAAUGCCUCAUGCAUGAGGCAGUCAGUAAAUAUUUGCUGAAUGAUUUGAGUUCACUUUGACUAUUGCACGUUAGUCAGCAUACAAGUCUGUAGUCAUUUAUUGUUAAAUUUCUUCCUGACAUAUAUUUGGUGUAGGAGGAAAAGUGUGUGGGUUUCAGAAAAAUACAGAGAAUGGACAAUUAAGUUUUCCUAGGGUGUGCCGCAUCCUGUUGUCCUAAAAAUGUACAUUGGACUAAUAGAUGAGAUGCUUUAGCUGGUGCCGUCUCAAUUGCAACAGCAAGAUGGCAAAAGGAAAUGUUUCAGAAAAGCAGAUUGCUGCAAGUACAGUUAGCAAAAAGCAAAAUAGAGGAAUGCUUAAAGAAUAGCAAAAAGGUAAUGCUUGUGUUUGAACUUUAAAUUAGAAGAAAAAUUAUUCUUGUGAUUUUAACUUA